GGAAUACGGCAGAAUCGAGGAUGAUGCCCAUGUCUGCAACUCAGAAUUAUAGAAUCACUUUCAAAAGAGAAGAGAAAGAAGUUCACCAAAUGGGAAAAUAGAAAAGUAAGAACAUAUUGAAGACCACAUUUGAGUAAAUAACCCCUGAAAAAAAAAAAUUAAAAGAAUUGACAAUAAAGGAGGGUUUUUUUUU
rnacentral:lncRNA from 1 species